UACGAAGGGUGCAAGCGUUACUCGGAAUUACUGGGCGUAAAGCGUGCGUAGGUGGUCUGCUAAGUCUGAUGUGAAAGCCCUGGGCUCAACCUGGGAAUGGCAUUGGAAACUGGCGGGCUAGAGUGCGGUAGAGGGUAGUGGAAUUCCCGGUGUAGCAGUGAAGUGCGUAGAGAUCGGGAGGAACAUUCGUGGCGAAGGCGGCUACCUGGGCCAGCACUGACACUGAGGCACGAAAGCGUGGGGAGCAAACAGG
rnacentral:rRNA from 1 species